AUCAGUAAACACAUUAUUGAUUACGUAUAUUUGUACAGGCAAGCAUAUGAACCCAGUACAAACGCAAUGUACAAAGUUUCACGUAAAAUGGUUUCCCAUAGAAAACGAUUAUAAGGAAAACACUAAACCAUUAAGCGGAUUGCGUUCAUAUUCCGACCACAUCUGCUUGUCUAUGUAAGUAAAUAUUUACGUCUAUGGUUUUGUCAUCCCGCUCAUCCGCUAAAACCUGCGUAGCAACAGGACACACCUCUCCUGGCACUAUGGAUUUGUGAGCCAAUCACGAUUGAGUUUCAGCAUUGACGUCGUUUUUGUUGAUACUUCGAUUAGCUGGCCAUCCGCGAAACGUCACUGCAGAAGCACGCGCUCCUGACCUUCGACAUCCACCGAGCGUUUUCUGCCUGGAAACACUGCGAGCUUCCUGAGGCUGGAGUCGGAGUUGGGUAAAGUCUUGCUGUGCCUCGGCUUGUUAAUGCACUAUUGAUCUGUUUUUGUCCCUGUCACGGUGACAAACGCUCCCAACUGCUUGUGGCGUCUAAAUGGGAUCUGAUCAGAGUACCAGUUUGGCUGCUGACCAGCAGCAGAAGGAUUCAGGCAAUCUGUCAUUGAAAGGUGAAGUAUCUUCAUCCAAUGCCCAAACCGAUACUGGUCCUGAGCCCCAGGACAGUCUGGAUCCAGACACUGACUUGCCCCAAUGCCGAAUGGGCAACAGAAAGGUAGACGACAUGAGCUUUAUGAUAUCCUGCACUAACUGGUAUUAAAAACCAAAGAAGCACUGUGAAAGAACUGACUAGACUGGGCGUUUCGUUUCCGACAACGGAAGACAUGCUGGUGCUGUAGUUGCAGUGCAAUGGGUUUGAUGUGAUUUAUGCCUUUUAUAAGUUGUGCAAUGUGUUUGAAGACAUAGAGAAUAAAGUUAGUGCACUAGCUGUGCAUGUACUGAUUGCAUGAUAUCAAAAGCUUGUAGUAUGUAGUUGAUAUCAACCUGUGAUAAUUAAGUAUGUAUGUAUAUAUAUAUAUAUAUAUGUCAUUAUAUAAUGCAUCAAACAUCACUUGGCAUUUCUGUAAUUUUAUUUUAUUGACAUUUCUUUGAACAUGGUGAUAGUAGAUACACAGUGUAAAACUGUAGACUGAAAACCGAAAUAAAAACGACUCCUUGUUUACAGAAUUAAAAACAAGAUUUAAGAAAUAAAACUUAAAUCAUUUCUAAUAUUUAUAAAUCAA